rnacentral:rRNA from 1 species
UACGUAGGCAGCAAGCGUUGUUCGGAGUUACUGGGCGUAAAGAGUAUGUAGGCGGUUGGGUAAGUUUGGUGUGAAAUCUCCCGGCUUAACUGGGAGGGUGCGCUAAAGACUGCCUGGCUCGAGUGUGGGAGAGGAAAGCGGAAUUCCUGGUGUAGCGGUGAAAUGCGUAGAUAUCAGGAGGAACACCUGCGGUGUAGACGGCUUACUGGACCAUAACUGACGCUGAGGCACGAAAGCGUGGGUAGCAAACAGG